rnacentral:tRNA from 3 species
GCCCCUGUAGUGUAGUUCGGUCAAUCAUUCCACCCUUUCGAGGUGAAGACCCGGGUUCAAAUCCCGGCGGGGGCA